rnacentral:rRNA from 1 species
AACGCGAAGAACCUUACCAGCCCUUGACAUCCUGUGUUACCUCUAGAGAUAGGGGGUCCACUUCGGUGGCGCAGAGACAGGUGCUGCAUGGCUGUCGUCAGCUCGUGUCGUGAGAUGUUGGGUUAAGUCCCGCAACGAGCGCAACCCUCGCCCUUAGUUGCCAGCAUUGAGUUGGGCACUCUAAGGGGACUGCCGGUGAUAAGCCGAGAGGAAGGUGGGGAUGACGUCAAGUCCUCAUGGCCCUUACGGGCUGGGCUACACACGUGCUACAAUGGUGGUGACAGUGGGCAGCGAGCACGCGAGUGUGAGCUAAUCUCCAAAAGCCAUCUCAGUUCGGAUUGCACUCUGCAACUCGAGUGCAUGAAGUUGGAAUCGCUAGUAAUCGCGGAUCAGCAUG